AACGGUCUAUACCUGCGGUACCUGCGGAAGGAUCAUUAAAUAAAAAACACAAAAACUAUCCACUUACUGACUUGGGUUGUUCUUCUCUGUAACGGGGGAGAAUACCUGUCAGCAAAGCACCGUGAUGCGUUAAAGUCCAUAACCCUUUUUUUUCAUUAAAAAGGGGUAACUUUAUAAAACCCAUCAAAUAAAAUAGCCUAAAAAGCGAGAAAAAGGGUGAAAAGUGAGAAGAGGAGUAUC
rnacentral:misc_RNA from 1 species